rnacentral:tRNA from 1 species
GCCUUCGUGGCGUAAUGGUCAGCACACUCGGCGCGUAUUCGAGAGGUCCGAGGUUCGAGUCCCGGCGAGGGCA